GGGCCAGGAGGGCUGCUUGCCUGCCUGGGACAGCCUGUAGUCAGCAAAACUUUGCAUCCACAUCUGCGACCAUUUCUGACAGCUAGAUUGGGAGUUUAAAUUGUGCAACAUCUCAUGGGGACUUAAUACAGAACAGUUCCUUGAUUCAAAAUUGGACACUUCAUUUUAAGAAAGAUUGAGAUGGCUAAUACGACCUUCCCCGCCUUAGAGACGGUAUCAUAAAUUAAUCAAAGGUGCCAGUUUAAUGCGAUUUUUUAACUCUGAUAAAUGUAGGUGUCUUGGUGGUCCUUGAAAGUGGGAGAACAUAUCUGUCUGCUGCUUUUUCUGCUUGGAGACGCUGCCCGAGAAGGAUGGCAAGUUGGAUGGCAGGCGAUCUGGGGGCAGGCAGACAAUCUGACCUGCAUUCACAUUUUAGCAUUCACAUGCGUGAAUUCACUAGUCCAUUAGUUCACAGUUCCUGGCUAGAGGAUUGGGAGCGUGAAACAUACACUCUCUGUUACCCCUGAGGUUAAGUGGAAUCAACAAUAUUGAGGGGACGAAGAGACAUUGGAGCGACAUGUGCAAAGUGCUUAGUAUACGGAAACUGGAGACAUCGACAGAACCUGAGCAGUGUCCACUCCAACUGCUACCAUGACUGCUUUUUUGGUGGACUUUCCUCCUCCCUGCCUGAGACAUCAGGCCAUCAGAAUGACCCUCACAGUUCUGUGGUUAUACAGUGACUGUAGCAGCAACCAAGGUUGAGAAUCCCAGGAAAAUCCUGAAAGAGUGGGGAAGGAAGAGGGAGACUGUAAAGGCACGCACAUCCACCAGGAUUCCGACACAGGCUGAAUCGCACAGAAGCCCGUGGACCACACGUACUCUUAA